rnacentral:rRNA from 1 species
CCUUUGUUGUCCGACUCUGUUGCCUCCGGGGCGACCCUGCCUUCGGGCGGGGGCUCCGGGUGGACACUUCAAACUCUUGCGUAACUUUGCAGUCUGAGUAAACUUAAUUAAUAAAUUAAAACUUUUAACAACGGAUCUCUUGGUUCUGGCAUCGAUGAAGAACGCAGCGAAAUGCGAUAAGUAAUGUGAAUUGCAGAAUUCAGUGAAUCAUCGAAUCUUUGAACGCACAUUGCGCCCCCUGGUAUUCCGGGGGGCAUGCCUGUUCGAGCGUCAUUUCACCACUCAAGCCUCGCUUGGUAUUGGGCAACGCGGUCCGCCGCGUGCCUCAAAUCGACCGGCUGGGUCUUCUGUCCCCUAAGCGUUGUGGAAACUAUUCGCUAAAGGGUGCUCGGGAGGCUACGCCGUAAAACAAACCCAUUUCUAAGGUUGACCUCGGAUCAGGUAGGGAUACCCGCUGAACUUAAGCAUAUCAAUAAGCGGAGGA